GGUCGUAAAACUCUGUUGUUAGGGAAGAACAAGUGCUAGUUGAAUAAGCUGGCACCUUGACGGUACCUAACCAGAAAGCCACGGCUAACUACGUGCCAGCAGCCGCGGUAAUACGUAGGUGGCAAGCGUUAUCCGGAAUUAUUGGGCGUAAAGCGCGCGCAGGUGGUUUCUUAAGUCUGAUGUGAAAGCCCACGGCUCAACCGUGGAGGGUCAUUGGAAACUGGGAGACUUGAGUGCAGAAGAGGAAAGUGGAAUUCCAUGUGUAGCGGUGAAAUGCGUAGAGAUAUGGAGGAACACCAGUGGCGAAGGCGACUUUCUGGUCUGUAACUGACACUGAGGCGCGAAAGCGUGGGGAGCAAACAGGAUUAGAUACCCUGGUAGUCCACGCCGUAAACGAUGAGUGCUAAGUGUUAGAGGGUUUCCGCCCUUUAGUGCUGAAGUUAACGCAUUAAGCACUCCGCCUGGGGAGUACGGCCGCAAGGCUGAAACUCUGA
rnacentral:rRNA from 1 species